rnacentral:misc_RNA from 1 species
GAUGAGGAACGUAGCGAAAUGCGAUACUUGGUGUGAAUUGCAGAAUCCCGUGAACCAUCGAGUCUUUGAACGCAAGUUGCGCCCGAAGCCAUUAGGCCGAGGGCACGCCUGCCUGGGCGUCACACGUCGUUGCCCCCCCCAUCUACUCCUUCGGGAUUGCGGGGGGCGGAUGAUGGCCUCCCGUGCGCCUCGCCGCGCGGUUGGCAUAAAUGCCAAGUCCUCGGCGACGCACGCCACGACAAUCGGUGGUUGCGAAACCUCGGUUGCCCGUCGUGUGCGGUCGUCGCGCAUCGAGGGCUCGAAAAAAUUGCCGAGUUCCGGCUCGGCUUUCAACGCGACCCCAGGUCAGGCGGGGUUACCCGCUGAAUUUAAGCAUAUCAAUAAGCGGAGGA